rnacentral:rRNA from 1 species
UUAUACCGUGAAACUGCGAAUGGCUCAUUAAAUCAGUUAUCGUUUAUUUGAUAGUACCUUACUACUUGGAUAACCGUGGUAAUUCUAGAGCUAAUACAUGCUGAAAACCCCGACUUCGGAAGGGGUGUAUUUAUUAGAUAAAAAACCAACGCCCUUCGGGGCUUCUUGGUGAUUCAUGAUAACUUUACGGAUCGCAUGGCCUUGCGCCGGCGACGGUUCAUUCAAAUUUCUGCCCUAUCAACUUUCGAUGGUAAGGUAUUGGCUUACCAUGGUUUCAACGGGUAACGGGGAAUUAGGGUUCGAUUCCGGAGAGGGAGCCUGAGAAACGGCUACCACAUCCAAGGAAGGCAGCAGGCGCGCAAAUUACCCAAUCCCGACACGGGGAGGUAGUGACAAUAAAUACUGAUACAGGGCUCUUUUGGGUCUUGUAAUUGGAAUGAGUACAAUUUAAACCUCUUAACGAGGAACAAUUGGAGGGCAAGUCUGGUGCCAGCAGCCGCGGUAAUUCCAGCUCCAAUAGCGUAUAUUAAAGUUGUUGCAGUUAAAAAGCUCGUAGUUGAAACUUGGGCCUGGCUGGCAGGUCCGCCUCACCGCGUGUACUUGUCCGGCCGGGCCUUCCUUCUGGAGAACCUCAUGCCCUUCACUGGGCGUGUUGGGGACCAGGACUUUUACUUUGAAAAAAUUAGAGUGUUCAAAGCAGGCCUUUGCUCGAAUACGUUAGCAUGGAAUAAUAGAAUAGGACGUGCGGUCCUAUUUUGUUGGUUUCUAGGACCGCCGUAAUGAUUAAUAGGGACAGUCGGGGGCAUCAGUAUUCAAUUGUCAGAGGUGAAAUUCUUGGAUUUAUUGAAGACUAACUACUGCGAAAGCAUUUGCCAAGGAUGUUUUCAUUAAUCAGUGAACGAAAGUUAGGGGAUCGAAGACGAUCAGAUACCGUCGUAGUCUUAACCGUAAACUAUGCCGACUAGGGAUCGGGCGAUGUUCUUUUUCUGACUCGCUCGGCACCUUACGAGAAAUCAAAGU